GGGCGUCAUGCUCGACUACGAGGUCGUCCAUGCCGUCGCCAGCUACCGCUUCGAGGCCAGGGGCGGCCACCCUCCUCUUUACUACCUCCCCAACAGCGCUCCCACGACUCCAUCUCGUGCCAUCAAAGGGUCCGAGCCUCUGAGGAAAGAAAGGCCCACACAGGACACUCCUCCUUCGUCUUUCUCCUUCCUCGCAGCUCUCUGCUGCAUUCACGAAUAGCCAUCGACCCUACGACUACGAGUAGCGAGAGAGGAUUGAUGGCGGCGCAGCUGCGAAUCAUUUUCUGAAGAAUUCUCCCCAAAUCUUGUUCACUUCUUUGGUUCGGGGUUGACGGGGCUCUUUGUUCCUAAUGAGGCAGGGGGUGAUCCAAGAUCUGGACUACGCCUUGAGGACAAAGAAGGGAGGUUUGACCCCCGAGGAGGAGAAGACGCUCCUGGCUUACAAUUUACUUCCUGGUGUUUACUUCAUCGUGGGUUCAAUACUGGGCACUUUCGCGGGGUUGUUGGGUACCCACAAAGGUUGCUCACUCCCUCAGCUCUCGAUUUAAUAUUUGAUAAUGUUAAAGCAUGCCAUUCCUGAGAAAGCGAUAAUAUUGUGUCAACAAUCUGCGAGCACCAAAUUGUGUUAAAAAAACAUGCCAGGAGCAUGACUGCGGCCUUGUAUAUCAAGGUUAAAACCUGAAAUAGUAUUCAAUAGCCAUACUCGUGUAAACCAUCCAGGAUGGGGAUUGGGGAGGACAAUAUCUCUAGAUAAAGUUCAAAGAACCGUGGGUCAUCUGGCAAGCAACAUUAUUCCAUUCUUAUGGCUGUAUUUUGAGAGCUCCUUCCCUAAAUGUUACACCAUGGAAGUUGUUGUUAUGCUGCUAUCAAGUGGGCACACCAGAGGCAAACGAAUUAUAUUCUGCUUUUGUUAUUGCUCCUACUUUUCAAGGAUAUUUGUAUGCUUACCCUUCGCCGUCGCUGCGCUCCUGCUCCUCGCCUUCUGCAACAGCACCAGGGAGAGGGCUAUACUAAUGAUGCAGACAGCAGCGGGCUGUAGGAAGGUUCCUCCGGAGUUGCCCGAGCCGGCAUUCGACAUCAACUUUGCGUGUGAUGGCAUACAACACCGCGGCUAGCUCUUAGCCUCUCACGUUAAUAGGAAACUGUGUAGUUAAUAAACUUGGUAAUAGGAAACUGAUGGCAUAUUGUUAAAAAGCAUGACAUCAAUAUACGGUGCAGCAUAAUUGCGAAUGUAAACUUGGUAAUAGGAAACUUUACAUCCUAUAAAGCACAUGACAGUUAGCAAAUUUG